rnacentral:lncRNA from 1 species
GCCGCGGGGAUCGAGCUGGGAUCCAACUACCCCCUCCCGAUCGUGGAGAUAGCCGCGGCCAAAGCCCGCAUUCAGGAGGCCAUCGUGGAGAUGUGGCAGCUGGAGGCGGUCUCGAGGGCGACGGUCGAGAACGGCACCGAAGAGGGCCUCGGCGAUUCGUCGGACGUCGCUCCGAUCGACUUCCCGCAGGACGUCCAGAUGGAGGUCGAGCGGGAGCCGGCGAGGGCCCAUAACGCGGGGGCCCUGGCGCGGAGGAACGAGGACCAGAUGGUUCCCAGCAUGACUUCUUCUCUGGCCAGGGACGACGAGGAGGCCUCCGCCGAUCUCCGGCGCAGCCACGGCGACAACCGAACGGAGGUGCCCGGGAACAUGAUG